rnacentral:rRNA from 1 species
UCGUUAGAUGAAUACAUAGUCUAACGAGGCGAACCGGGGGAACUGAAACAUCUAAGUACCCCGAGGAAAAGAAAUCAACCGAGAUUCCCCCAGUAGCGGCGAGCGAACGGGGAGGAGCCCAGAGUCUGAAUCAGUUUGUGUGUUAGUGGAAGCGUCUGGAAAGUCGCACGGUACAGGGUGAUAGUCCCGUACACCAAAAUGCACAGGCUGUGAACUCGAUGAGUAGGGCGGG